GAGUUUGAUCCUGGCUCAGAUUGAACGCUGGCGGCAGGCCUAACACAUGCAAGUCGAGCGGUAGAGAGAAGCUUGCUUCUCUUGAGAGCGGCGGACGGGUGAGUAAUGCCUAGGAAUCUGCCUGGUAGUGGGGGAUAACGCUCGGAAACGGACGCUAAUACCGCAUACGUCCUACGGGAGAAAGCAGGGGACCUUCGGGCCUUGCGCUAUCAGAUGAGCCUAGGUCGGAUUAGCUAGUUGGUGAGGUAAUGGCUCACCAAGGCGACGAUCCGUAACUGGUCUGAGAGGAUGAUCAGUCACACUGGAACUGAGACACGGUCCAGACUCCUACGGGAGGCAGCAGUGGGGAAUAUUGGACAAUGGGCGAAAGCCUGAUCCAGCCAUGCCGCGUGUGUGAAGAAGGUCUUCGGAUUGUAAAGCACUUUAAGUUGGAGGAAGGGCAGUAAAUUAAUACUUUGCUGUUUUGACGUUACCGACAGAAUAAGCACCGGCUAACUCUGUGCCAGCCGCCG
rnacentral:rRNA from 1 species